UCAUCGGCUCAGGACCAUUGC
rnacentral:siRNA from 1 species